rnacentral:rRNA from 1 species
CUACGGGUGGCAGCAGUGAGGAAUAUUGCACAAUGGGGGGAACCCUGAUGCAGCAACGCCGCGUGGAGGAUGACGCAUUUCGGUGUGUAAACUCCUUUUAUAUGUCAAGAAAAUGACGGUAGCAUAUGAAUAAGCACCGGCUAACUCCGUGCCAGCAGCCGCGGUAAUACAGAGGGAGCAAGCGUUACUCGGAAUCACUGGGCGUAAAGGACGCGUAGGCGGGUUGGAAAGUCAGGUGUGAAAUCCUACAGCUUAACUGUAGAACUGCACUUGAAACUUCUAAUCUAGAGUAUGGGAGGGGGAGAUGGAAUUAGUGGUGUAGGGGUAGAAGCCGUAGAUAUCACUAGGAAUACCUAAAGCGAAGGCGAUCUCCUGGAACAUUACUGACGCUAAGGCGUGAAAGCGUGGGGAGCAAACAGGAUUAGAUACCCGAGUAGUC